GGAAUCCUGAAGUACCAUGAAGUAAAUUUAAAAUAUGUAUAUUUAGGUUGGAGAGAGGGCUCAGCAGUUAAGAGCAUUUUGGGGCACUUUCAGAGUCGAGUUUUUGAUCCCUAGUACUCUCAAGGGGUAGUGCACAACUGCCGCAAAUUCCAACUUCAAGGGAUCUGAUGCCCUCUUCUGGUCUCCCUGGGUACCUGCAUGUACUUGCAUAAAGACACAUACACAUAAACAUUAAAAAAUCUUGCUUUAUAAAAAAGAAUAUGCAUAUUUGCCAAAUGAUAUUAAAACACCACAGCCCCUGAAAAUCAAUUCAUCUACUGGAGUUAUGAUUUUAAAAAACAGGAAGCUACAUCAUAACUUAAGUCCAGUAGUGACAACAAGGCUACCAAUCACCCACAUGACCCCACUGAGUGACAGGACAACUCCCCUGAAAAAGGAUCUUGGUGACAUCUCAGGUGUGCCUGGAAACAAUUCCUUUCUCUGGUACCAUGCAGACAACAGUUCAUGAGUCCUCAGAGAUUAAUUUGAUGGGGGGGGGGAUUCAAGGAUUUGUUCAGUGUGUAGAAAGAUCCCAUAUAAACCCGGGACAAAUCUCAAUUUCUAGUCCAGAAAACAUCCCAAAGCAAAUCUGUUUGCCCACUUUGAAUACAUUUCCUUUUCAGGCUCCACAGAUGUCCUUUCUCAUAAAUUCAAAAGUAUGUGCACGUUCCAAGUUUAACUUCCUUCAUUACAUGACAUUAGGGGAAAAGAGCAUUCUGCUUCCUGGUGUAUCCUCUCCCGCGGCUCAUUUCCCCCGCUGAGAUCAUCAUCAGCUUGAGACAUCACCGCCAUCUCCACAGCAACCGUCACCAGCCCUCCCUUCUUCCUUCCACGACAGGCUUCUCAACAUGAAAAUGGGGAUACCAGAGCUGGUCACCAAGCUUGACCACUUGAGUUCAAUCCCCAGGACCCACACAGUGGGAGUGAAGGAAGACUCCUGAUGUCCUCUGAUGUCCACUCACACGCAUUGCGGGGGUAGGGGGGAGGCACACUUGAAAUGAAAUGAAAAUAUAAAAUGUUUAAAAGAAGACGAUGGAGAAGUCAGCAUCCUCCAUGCAGAAUUGUGUGCAAAGAUUAUAUAACUGAAUGUAAACUUUCUGAGCAAUGAUGUGUCAAGACCUUGGUGUGCACAACUAUAUGAUAUCCACAAAUAUUAUAGAGGUCAUGAUGAUAGAUUUGCAUUAGCUACUGUUGUAUAAUAAACCCACUCCAAAAUUUGGUGCCUUAAAAUGA
rnacentral:lncRNA from 1 species